AAUCCUCCCAGGGUCAGUCGGGAGCUAAGGCGAGGCCGAGAGGCGUAGCCGAUGCACAACAGGUGGACAUUCCUGUACCGUCUGGGGGACGUUCGUACCGACGGGGCGACGGAGGAGGAUAGCCGGGCCGGGUUCUGGACGUCCCCGUGAUGGAGCGCGGCCCGCGGACCAGGGAAAUCCGGUCCGCAGAAGGGCGAGGCUCCGGACGAAGCGACUGAGCGAAGCGAGUGAGCCCGAGGUCCCUAGAAAAACCCCUAGGCAGGCGCGUGCGCGCCCGUACCGCAAACCGACACAGGUGGGUGGGUAGAACAUACCGAGGCGAUCGGGUCAACCAUGGUCAAGGAACUCGGCACAAUGGCCCCGUAACUUCGGGAGAAGGGGUGCCCGCGCGUACGUGAACGGACUUGCUCCGGGAGCGGAGGCGGGCCGCAGUGGAGAGGCCCAAGCGACUGUUUACCAAAAACACAGGACUCUGCAGAAGCCGCAAGGCGACGUAUAGGGUCUGACGCCUGCCCGGUGCCGGAAGGUCACGCGGAGGGGUUAGCCGCAAGGCGAAGCCCCGAAGCCAAGCCCCGGUAAACGGCGGCCGUAACUAUAACGGUCCUAAGGUAGCGAAAUUCCUUGUCGGGUAAGUUCCGACCUGCACGAAAGGCGUAACGACUUGGACGCUGUCUCAACCAUGGACCCGGUGAAAUUGCACUAGUCGUGAAGAUGCGACUUACCCGCGGAAGGACGGAAAGACCCCGUGAACCUUUACUGCAGCUUGGCAUUGGCUGCCGGGGCGCCGUGUAGAGGAUAGGUGGGAGACCGUGAUGCGGGGGCGCCAGCCCCCGCGGAGUCGCCCUUGGAAUACCACCCUCGGCGCCUUGGCAUCCUAACCUGCGGCCGUGACCCGGCGCAGGGACCGUGCCAGGUGGGUAGUUUGACUGGGGCGGUCGCCUCCCAAAGAGUAACGGAGGCGCACGUAAGGUCUGCUCGUCGCGGUCGGCAACCGCGAUCAUGAGUGCAAGAGCAUAAGCAGGCUUGACUGCGAGGCCCACAAGCCGAGCAGGUGGGAAACCAGGUUCUAGUGAUCCGGCGGCACAGAGUGGUAUGGCCGUCGCUCAACGGAUAAAAGGUACUCCGGGGAUAACAGGCUGAUCUUCCCCAAGAGUCCACAUCGACGGGAAGGUUUGGCACCUCGAUGUCGGCUCAUCGCAUCCUGGGGCUGGAGCAGGUCCCAAGGGUACGGCUGUUCGCCGUUUAAAGCGGUACGCGAGCUGGGUUCAGAACGUCGUGAGACAGUUCGGUCCCUAUCCUCCGUGGGCGCAGGAGAAUCGAUGGAGGCUGCCCCCAGUACGAGAGGACCGGGGUGGACGCACCUCCGGUGAACCGGUUGUCGACCAACGGCACGGCCGGGUAGCCGCGUGCGGCGCGGAUAACCGCUGAAGGCAUCUAAGCGGGAAGCCGUUCCAGGGAUUAGUUCUCCUUCCGGUAAGGGCCCAGGUAGACUACCUGGUCGAUAGACGGCAGGUGCAAGGGCGGCGACGUCCUCAGCCGAGCCGCACUAAUCGCCCGAGCUCUUCCGGAA
rnacentral:rRNA from 1 species